AAACCAACAGGGAUUGCCCUAGUAACGGCGAGUGAAGCGGCAACAGCUCAAAUUUGAAAUCUGGCUCUUUCAGAGUCCGAGUUGUAAUUUGCAGAGGGCGCUUUGGCUUUGGCAGCGGUCCAAGUUCCUUGGAACAGGACGUCACAGAGGGUGAGAAUCCCGUACGUGGUCGCUAGCUAUUGCCGUGUAAAGCCCCUUCGACGAGUCGAGUUGUUUGGGAAUGCAGCUCUAAAUGGGGAGGUAAAUUUCUUCUAARGCUAAAUAUUGGCCAGAGACCGAUAGCGCACAAGUAGAGUGAUCGAAAGAUGAAAAGCACUUUGGAAAGAGAGUCAAACAGCACGUGAAAUUGUUGAAAGGGAAGCGCUUGCAGCCAGACUUGCUUGCAGUUGCUCAUCCGGGCUUUUGCCCGGUGCACUCUUCUGCAGGCAGGCCAGCAUCAGUUUGGGCGGUGGGGUAAAGGUCUCUGUCACGUCCUCUCUUCGGGGAGGCCUUAUAGGGGAGGCCRACAUACCACCAGCCUGGACUGAGGUCCGAGCAUCUGCUAGGAWGCUGGCGUAAUGGCUGUAAGCGGCCCGUCUUGAAACACGGACCAAGGAGUCUAACAUCUAUGCGAGUGUUUGGGUGUCAAGCCCGAGCGCGUAAUGAAAGUGAACGGAGGUGGGAACCCGCAAGGGCGCACCAUCGACCGAUCCUGAAGUUUACGGAAGGAUUUGAGUAAGAGCAUGGCUGUUGGGACCCGAAAGAUGGUGAACUAUGCUUGAAUAGGGUGAAGGCCAGAGGAAACUCUGGUGGAGGCU
rnacentral:rRNA from 1 species